CGGUACCGGAAUAAGAAGCACCGGCUAACUACGUGCCAGCAGCCGCGGUAAUACGUAGGGUGCGAGCGUUAAUCGGAAUUACUGGGCGUAAAGCGUGCGCAGGCGGACUUUUAAGCCAGAUGUGAAAGCCCCGAGCUUAACUUGGGAAUUGCGUUUGGAACUGGGAGUCUAGAGUCUGUCAGAGGGGGAUGGAAUUCCACGUGUAGCAGUGAAAUGCGUAGAGAUGUGGAGGAACACCGAUGGCGAAGGCAGUCCCCUGGGAUAAGACUGACGCUCAUGCACGAAAGCGUGGGGAGCAAACAGGAUUAGAUACCCUGGUAGUCCACGCCCUAAACGAUGUCUACUAGUUGUUGGGGUAGCAAUACCUCAGUGACGCAGCUAACGCGUGAAGUAGACCGCCUGGGGAGUACGGUCGCAAGAUUAAAACUCAAAGGAAUUGACGGGGGCCGCACAAGCGGUGGAUUAUGUGGAUUAAUUCGAUG
rnacentral:rRNA from 1 species